UGGGGAAUUUUGGACAAUGGGGGAAACCCUGAUCCAGCCAUCCCGCGUGUGCGAUGAAGGCCUUCGGGUUGUAAAGCACUUUUGGCAGGAAAGAAACGUCGCGGGUUAAUACCCCGCGAAACUGACGGUACCUGCAGAAUAAGCACCGGCUAACUACGUGCCAGCAGCCGCGGUAAUACGUAGGGUGCAAGCGUUAAUCGGAAUUACUGGGCGUAAAGCGUGCGCAGGCGGUUCGGAAAGAAAGAUGUGAAAUCCCAGAGCUUAACUUUGGAACUGCAUUUUUAACUACCGGGCUAGAGUGUGUCAGAGGGAGGUGGAAUUCCGCGUGUAGCAGUGAAAUGCGUAGAUAUGCGGAGGAACACCGAUGGCGAAGGCAGCCUCCUGGGAUAACACUGACGCUCAUGCACGAAAGCGUGGGGAGCAAACAGGAUUAGAUACCCUGGUAGUCCACGCCCUAAACGAUGUCAACUAGCUGUUGGGGCCUUCGGGCCUUGGUAGCGCAGCUAACGCGUGAAGUUGACCGCCUGGGGAGUNCGGUCGCAAGAUU
rnacentral:rRNA from 1 species